rnacentral:tRNA from 1 species
GGCCUCGUAGCUCAGUUGCCUAGAGUGUUGGCUGUACUAAAGUCUUCAACCUGUUGUCGUGGGUUUGAAUCCCAUCGAGACCA